rnacentral:sRNA from 1 species
UAUAUGCAAAAAGGCUGCCGAUCAUGUUCCCAUGAUCGGCAGCCUUUUUUUUAUCUU